rnacentral:rRNA from 1 species
UACGGAGGAUCCGAGCGUUAUCCGGAUUUAUUGGGUUUAAAGGGAGCGUAGGCGGUCUCUUAAGUCAGCGGUAAAAGCCCGGGGCUCAACCCCGGCCCGCCGUUGAAACUGGCUUGCUUGAGUUGGAGAGAAGCAGGCGGAAUGCGCGGUGUAGCGGUGAAAUGCAUAGAUAUCGCGCAGAACCCCGAUUGCGAAGGCAGCCUGCCGGCUCCACACUGACGCUGAGGCACGAAAGCGUGGGUAUCGAA